rnacentral:tRNA from 1 species
GCAGUCGUGGCUGAGUGGUUAAGGCGAUGGACUAGAAAUCCAUUCGGGUCUCCCCGCACGGGUUCGACCUCCUGUCGUCUACG